rnacentral:tRNA from 2 species
GCCGCUUUAGCUCAGCUGGUAGAGCAACGCAUUCGUAAUGCGUAGGUCGCGUGUUCAAGUCACGCAAGCGGCACCA